GACGAACGCUGGCGGCGUGCUUAACACAUGCAAGUCGAACGGAAAGGCCCUGCUUUUGUGGGGUGCUCGAGUGGCGAACGGGUGAGUAACACGUGAGUAACCUGCCCUUGACUUUGGGAUAACUUCAGGAAACUGGGGCUAAUACCGGAUAGGAGCUCCUGCUGCAUGGUGGGGGUUGGAAAGUUUCGGCGGUUGGGGAUGGACUCGCGGCUUUUCAGCUUGUUGGUGGGGUAGUGGCUUACCAAGGCUUUGACGGGUAGCCGGCCUGAGAGGGUGACCGGGCACAAUGGGACUGAGAUACGGCCCAGACUCCUACGGGAGGCAACAGUGGGGAGUAUUGCACAAUGGGCGGAAGCCUGAUGCAGCAACGCCGCGUGCGGGAUGACGGCCUUCGGGUUGUAAACCGCUUUCGCCUGUGACGAAGCGUGAGUGACGGUAAUGGGUAAAGAAGCACCGGCUAACUACGUG
rnacentral:rRNA from 1 species